CGCGCCCUGGUUGGUGGAGUGGGGGAAAGGGGAGGGGAGAGGGAAGGGGUGGGCAGGGAAGGGAAGGAGCAGGGCCAGAUAGAAGAGAGGGGAGGGGGGGAGGGGCACUGGCCCGUCGGACAUAGGGCGUUAGCUUCCAGCAGCUCGCGAAUUGAAGGUCGGCGCCGCCGGUCCAGCUUGCCUCUGGCAUGCCAAUCCCAUUCGCCGCCUCAGCCGUCCAAGCGCUACCCACACAUCAAACUGCCCAAUCUGAGGCGGAUAAUGUCGCUCACGAUGCCCAAUGGUUCUCGCGGACCAUCUCGGACGAGUGCGGGAGGGCCUUUGCUACCAGUGAAAGUUGAAACUUGAAAGCGGAGAUCGUAUUUAACUUUAUUGUCGCGGCGUAAUUUGCACGUUUGUUUUUAUGACGACGUAGAACACGCGAGGGAAGACUGUCAUACUUGGCGGGAGAGGAGGUGGGUCGGGAGGAGGGGUCUCUAACGAGUGGUCUAAUGAGGGCGACACGAGAGUAGGGAUAGGCCACACAUCCCGCCUCAAGUGCAGUGAGUGGACUGGAGACAGCGGUGUUUCGUACAGAUGAUUCCGCGUGUCGCGAAAACGUCCAUUUCAUCAACCGAGUCUCGCAAAUUUGCAAAGCUGUAACCGUAUAGGAGGCAAAACUAUAUAUCGCCAAUCGGACUCUUGAUUCUUCUCUAAUAAGAAAGAAAACACGCACGCGCGCCCGCGCCGACUAUUAGGAAGUGCAAAUAAGAAAUCAAUUGACUUUUAUUGACUGGCAAACAAAAACGGUAAACGACACCGCGCGGGCCGAGCAUACAUUACCGCCUUUCUCCCAAUGAUAGAUGGGCCGGCACAUCUACAUAAGCAAUCAGUGUAACGGGAUCAGUCCCGAGCCCACAGCGGGCUGGGCCGGGCGCGUCAGAAAGCGUCGGCUGGGCUGGCUCGCCGGCCGCGACGAGGAGGGAAGGCCCAGGGCGCCCCGGACGCAGCCCGCUUGUUUAUCUCGGGGCGCAUCCUGCUCGCGCGGGGGGCAGCCAAUGGGGACGCGGCCCAGCCUCGGUCGUCGAGGCAACGUCCAAUCGCAACGUCUCGGGGAGCCAAUGGGGGAGGCACGGGGGCGGAGCAGGGCGGCGGCGCCGGGGUUGGGAGCGAGAGAGAGAGGGGCGGCCCUCGCGCACCCCUGGCGAGGAGCGGGAGAGAGAGGGCGAGUGCGGGCGCGAGCGCCGUGGGCGGUCUCGGGGAGGAGCGGCGGCUACCAUUGGAGUGACAGUUGCCCCGUGUUGCCCACCGCUGGGCCGCAGCUGGCUACCUCCCCGGCACUCCGCAACCCCCUCGGCCGGGACGGACGGCCCUCUCAGUGGCUGUUGCAGCGAAACGAGACAAUGCAGAGGAAACAACCGGCGUCGUCGGUAGUCGACAGUGGGUGCGCGCGUGUUUAAGUUUCCCGAGGAACGCGUAGUCUACGGUGCUCCCGUAUUCACUGAAGGGGCCUCCUAGUGAUGUUCUAAGAAAAAUCGAGCUGCGCGCAGGAUCGCGCUGAAGAUAUCAUCGCCAUCGUAACGCGAGGGUACGAUGGAGAGCGUUGACAGCGGCACGAAGACGCCCAGCGCGUCGUCGACGCGGGAGGCAUCACCACCCGCCUGACUCCUCGGCGUCGUCCUCCCUGCGCCUCCGCCAGGAUGCUGCGCGCGCCCGGGUCGUCCUACCCGACGACGGAGCGCGGCGCGCGGCGCCCCAAGUGCGCGCGCUGUCGCAACCACGGCAUCAUCUCGUGGCUCAAGGGCCACAAGCGGCAGUGCCGCUUCAAGGGCUGCGUGUGCGCCAAGUGCAACCUCAUCGCGGAGCGGCAGCGCGUGAUGGCGGCGCAGGUGGCGCUGAAGCGGCAGCAGGCGGCGGAGGACGCCAUCGCCCUGGGGCUGGCCGCCGUGGCCACCGGCACGCAGUACGGCUUCCUCCCGCCGGGCCCCAUCUUCGGCAUGACCAUCACCGCUCCUAAAGGCGGCGCCGCAGCGGCUGAUUCCAACAACAACGCCAACCACGAACAGGAGGACGACGCCGAAGGUGAGGGCAGCGACGGGCGGCCCGAGGACCGCGACAGCGAGCUCAGCGCCCCAGAGCACGAGGAGGGGCCCGGUGAGCAGCAAGGCGAUCAUAGCCGCAACCGGAGCAGUGUCGCCAGCGCGGCUCCCAGCCCACCGCCCCUGCCGCCUGCUGCCCCCGCGCGGCCCGCGCCCACAGCCUCCUCCCUGGACCUGCUGGCGCGGCUCUUCCCCACCAAGAAGCGGUCAGUGCUGGAGCUGGUGCUGCGGCGCUGCGAGGAUGACCUGCUCCGGGCCAUCGAGCACUUUGCGCCUGGGUCCGCGGUGGGCUCGGUGGCGCCUGGCCAGGACGUGCCCACCCAGCUGCACGACGCCCGCCGGCCGCCGUCCUCCCCUAGGGUCGUGGCGCAGCAGUCGCCACCCGCAGCGCCACCGACCUGCGCACCCACCCCGCCGCCCCAGCAGAGCGCGGCGACGUCGCGGGGGUCAGCCUUCCGUCCCCUGCCGCCCCCGGUGGCGCCGCCGCCCCCCAUGGCGCACCAGGGCGGGCUCAGUCUGCGGCACCCGAUGCUCUUCCCAUUCCAUCAGGGUGGCAUGGGGGGCGUUGGCGGCCGCCUGCUCAGCCCGUGGUGCGCGUCGUCGUCGGACCUGCUGCUGGCGCUGCCGCCCCUGGGAGGCACCCUCGGCCCGCCACUGCCGCCGGGGGCGCACUCGGCGCACGGCCUGUUCUUCCAGCCCCCUCCGCUGUGCCUGGCGCCGCCGCCGGCCCAGCACCCACAACCCCCCGAGCACGGCGCCGAGCCCCGCGGCGGCCACGACUUGUCCUGGCUGCACGUGCACGCCGGCCCCCACCAGCACCUCGCCGACCACCGCACGAGGACGAUGCCACCGUCGCGGCGCUCCCCGGACGACUCCACUGAUUCCGGAGCUGCACGCACACCUAAAUGGAUCAUUAAGUGAGGAUACCCUGCGUGUCUUGUGCAUGGAAAAUCCAGACUUGAGUUCUGAUGAAAAGAUAAAUGCAUUGAUAUCCUCUUUUCAUCUUAAAAACCGGUCUCUGGAAGAGUGUUUCAAAAAAUUUGAUAUUGCUCAUGCGGUAACUAUUAAUCCUGCAGCUGUAAAGAAAGCCACCAAAGAUGUCAUAUCUGACUUUGCUGCUGAUGGCGUGGCUUAUCUGGAAAUCCGGACAACACCACGUUCUGUGCCAGGGGUCA